CAAGAGCUGGACACUUAACUGAGCCACCCAGGUGUGCAGAGCAAAUGUGUACUUUUAUAACUUAUAUUAAUUCAUUAAUAAUAAGCUACUCAUAACUGUAGGAGUUUUCAUAAAAGAAAAAACCUGGAAGGUCUUUUACUAUUUGCCAAGUGCUGUUUUAAGUGCUUUCUGAACACUCAUGUAAUCUUCAUGAGUGAUGAAGAAUGAAUGAAUCUCAUUCUCAUAUGAGAAUGAAUCCUGCAAGGGAGAGAAGAACUGGUUACACUAAAAGCAGCCAGGCGGAGAAAGGUGUACAUGCUGAAUCAAUAUACACUCCUUGGGAAUAAAACAAAAGUCCAUUUUAUCUUUUAAAAAACGGAAUUCAAGUGGCACCCACAAGUAAAAGAGUAAUUUCAAUCUUAGAAAGGUAAAUUAUACCCUUACAGAUAAGAAGAAAAGUAAAUAUAUGAAAUCAAAAUCUUCCACUCCUAUGGCAGUUCUGGAUUUAGCUUGUGUGCCUGGACUAUGCAAUGGAUUUUUGGCUGAUGAGUUAUUCUGGAAAGCCAAAGUUAACACGAACCUCAAGUUCUACACUGCAUGGAAUAAAACUCCUAUGUUACUUGAGUUAGAAAAGUCUCUAAACUCAUUUACACCCCUCACCUGCUUUACUAAAGAAACACGCUUUUAUGUAGCAGAAAGAUCACAAGCUUUGGAGUCUGAUUUGUUUCAAGGCCCUGCACUUCUCAUCUCUCUGAUCCUGGCUAUCAAAAGAGGGUAAUACUCAGGAUUGUGAUUAUUAUAUGAGGUAAUGUCUGGUGUAGAGGAGGUGCUCAAAAAUACUUUUUAAAUUUUGUCUGUGUUACUCUAACUGUGCCAUCAGUUUUUCUUAGUUUUCUGGAAUGAGGCUUCUCCUCUCACUGUUUAUUGAUUUGGGUAUAGAACCCCUAGAGCUAAUCUUAACUAGAAUUGUGUUUGUAAAUUAAAAGUAAACCUACCCCAGGUCAAUUGCUGAGUGGACUUCUACAUAUAAAAUGAAGAGUUUAAUUUGUGCAUAUUUUUACAUAUUGGUUUUCAGUUAUAUACUGAAUCAGAAACUUAUCAACAACUGAAUUCUAUAUAUAGGUGAAUUAUUAUGUGCUUGGUACAUAACAGAUGAUCUCUCCAAAUACUGCAAUGAAAACAUUUAUUUCACUCUCAGCUAAAAUUAAAUUUAACCAGGAGAUACUGUUCUCUUGAUUUUUUUGAGAAAGUUUUUGUCAUAUUUGUAAUGUGCCACAAGUUAUCCUAAUUUAUACAAGUGCUUUUCAAAUGUUCCAUCAAAAUAGUCCUUAAAGCAGAGAAGCAUAUCUGCAGUACUCAGGCACACUUUGAAACAUACUAUUGCUUCUUUAAAGUCUCAUUUUUUAUUAAAUAUUUUCAAAUUCUACAUCCUCCUCUGCAUUAUACUCACAUUUUGUCUUUAAUUAUAAAAUAUUUUAACUGGCUUAUAAUUAGUAAAUUAGCACUCUCGGAAUGUUUAUCUUGCAACUUAUCACCUCUGGUCAUCAGGUGUACCUCCUGGGAUCCUGGUAGCCCCAGUUUGAGAAGUAUAAUUUCAUAUCAAAUAUUGAGAAUUCUGAUUAUAUUUAUUCUUUGAGGACGAUCAUUAGUUUUAAAUAAAGUCUGUAUCACCUUUAUGGAUAUCAUAACUGGUAUUAGCAUGUUUACAUUUAAAAAAAUAUAUUCAAAUUCCUCUUUUGCAUUUUACUAAAAAAGUCCUAUGUCAGUUAUCAUACUCCAUUAGAAGAAGGGAGGAAACAUACAUGAUAUCAUAGCAGGCAGAAUGAUGGCCUUCCAAAGAUGCCUGCCUCCUUGUCCCCAGAACUUGUGAAUACAUUACCUUACAUGGUAAAAUAAACGUUACAUAUGUGAUCGUAUUAAAGAUCUUGAGGUGAAGAGAUUAUCCUGUGGGUCCAAUGUAAUUACAAGGGUUCUUAUAAGAGGGAGGCAUGAAGGUCAAAAGCAGAAGGAGAUGGGACCACAGAAGCAGAGUUUAGAGUACUGUGGAGGGAUGCUGACAGCUUCUAGAAGCUGGAAGAGACAAAAAUCAGAAUCUCCCCUUGAGCAUCUAGAUAGAACCAGCCCCACUGACACCUUAAUUUUAGUCUAAGACUCAUUUUGGACUUCUGGCCUCUGGAAAGUUAAAACAACAAACCUGUGUUAUUUGAAGCCCCUAAAUUUGUGGCAAUUUGUUACAGCAGCAAUGGGAAAAUAAUACAGAUACUGUACUUAACAUGGGAAACCCAGAUGAGAAUAAACUGUGGACAGCCAUAAGUUUACUGGCCCAGCCUCUGGGCCCUGGUGAUUAUUCCCCUUGCCCAGAAUGUCCUUUCUUUCCAUCCCUAAUUGUGAAAUCUGAACUGUUCUUGGAUGCCGGGCUCUAACAUCAGCUCUUAUCACUGACUCCAAUCUCUCAUCCAGGAGAGUUUGUGCUUUUGUGGUUUCUGACAUCAAUGACCUCCUUUCACUUGGUGCCAUAACUGUGAUGGUGUCUGUUUCCUUAACAGUACUGGAAGCUUCUGGAGGGCAGCCUGUGUUCGACCACAGGGCACUGUGUAUGUAGCUGGUGUUUGGUACAAGUGUGUUGGGUGGAAGGCUUAUGGAAAUGUGGAACCACAUAGGUAAAUAUAUGGCUACUUCCAACAACCACAUUGAGGCUUUUCACUUCAGAACAAACACUGGUCAUGCUGCAAGCCCAGUGGAAUAUCUGAUUCUUCCAGGUAUAGCUCAAGGAACACCCACAGUGACAUCUCCAAGAUGGACACUAUCCAGCAGAUAAAUGGUCCUUUAACUGUGGAAUGACAGUCCUGGAAUGAGUUUGUGAAGACACGAGUCUCUGACGCUUCCUUCUAAUAGAGAAAGCUGUCAGAGCUUGGCAGACUCCACCAUUUUUUUUCUAGCUGAUCUAAUAGAGCUCAAGCAACACUUUGUGGGGAGCAUUCUCAAGCGUUUCCAUAGCCUUUUCCAUUAUGCCAGUGAGGAAGCCUUUAGUGUAUUUGCUUCGUUUCGUUUUCAUUUGCCUGCCUUUCGGCCUAAUUUACUGAGUAAAUAAAAUAGUUGCUAUAGCCA